CAAAAAAUUAUUAGUGAAAAUUUUUAGAAGCAUUUUUUUAGUGUGAUUUAUUUGUUAUAAAAAUUGCAAAAAUUGUUAACUAACUUCAGCAUCAUUGAUAUUAGCUUCAAAGUAACUAUAAUAACUAAUGAUUUGCCUACUACGCGUAGGACUGAUGGAUAUUCAUGAUAUUUUUAUCUUAAUUAUUAACGUCCAAAGUGAUAAAUAUAAUUUUCAUUUAACAAUUUUGUUUGUUAUUAUUAUUAUUAUCAUCAUCAUUAUUAUUAUCUAAGUCUGAUUGAACAUCCGGGGCUCUGGCGUGAACCGCAUAAAUCUCCGUAGCUCUAGUGUUAGCCGCGUGAAUCUGCGUGGCUCUAGCGUUAGCCGCGUGAAUCUGCGUAGCUCUAGCGUUAGCCGCGUGAAUCGGUGGGGCUCUGGCGUGAACCGCGUGAAUCUAUUUAGCUCUAGCGUGAGCCGCACAACUCCAGCGUGAAUGAAGUAUUUACAGCAGCAAGCGAAUAAAUAAUUAAAUCGAAUACCAUUUAUCAACAAUGGCAAGUUCCAUGAGUGAGUAUUUUUUUAAAAAACAAAUGUUUAACAGUUAUGACGAGUUGAACACACUUGUGAUGCGUUACGAAAAAUAUGAAAAACAAAAACUUUUCAAUCGAAAUCGUAUACCAUUACGUGAAGACGACGAAAACAGUGAAGAAAAUAGAAACAGGUUAAUUUAUAAAACAAUAAGAUAUGAAUGCAAAUUCGGUAAAAAUUAUCACGGAAGUGAAGCUGAAGUUCGUCAAACUAACUCUUUCAAGCGUAACUGUCCAUUUUUUAUUCAAAUUAAUAAACCUCUGAAUGCGCAGGUACUUCGGAUUAGCACUUUAAAUCUUGCACAUAAUCAUCCAGGGACUGAGGUAUCAAUUAAUUUAAUUAAUGAUAAAAUUGUAUUUUUUUUUUGCAAUAGUUGUAAAAUUUUUACAUUUGAUGUAGGAAUAUAACAAGCAUAUACCAGAAAACAUAUAUAACAGAAUAAAUAAAAAGUUACUAUGGAAAAUUUACUUGUUAUGUCGUAAUAACUAUAAUGCUUUGGGUUGCAUCUGGCAGGUGACACUACUUGUCAGAUAAACCAUGAUUUAAAUGUGUUAAUUAGUUACAUUUAUAAUUUAAAUUUAUAUUUAUAUUUUAAAUAGAUUCAGAAUUCCUAGUUGAUUUAAUAUUUGAUUUAAUUGCUGAGUUUGGUCGUUGAGUGCACACGUGUCUUCGAAAGAGAAACUUUAAUGUCGAGAAAAUAAUACAAAGGAAUAUGGUAUUAGGUUCUGAAAAACCAUAAAAUCUUUGAGUAAACACAGAACGUGUCCUUGCCACAUGACAACUUCAAGUCCUUAAAAGAAAAGCCAUAAAAGACACGUGUGGAAACUCAACGGUCUCUUGUUCUCUAAAAAACAAGGCACUACAACUGAAUUUAACAACAAAAUAAAUAAAUAAUAAUUUAUUUAUCCACUUUAUUUUAAGUAACUAAAUAACAUAAAUAAAUGAGUAUUUAGACGCUACAACAUGUGUAUGUAUGUAUGGAUUUAAUGUCACAAUGGUUUUAGACAAAUUUAAUUACAUAUUGGAAUAAUUGAAUAGUAAAUGGUAUUAAAUUGAAUUUAGAAAUGAUUAGCAAAUAUUAAAGUAAAUUCCGCAUCUGAUAUAAUUUAUUGAGCAGAUAAUACCUUAAAAGCCUUUUAAAAUUAUAACACGUUAAUUGAUUCUAAUGAAUAUAUGUUAAUUAAAUAAUAAUAAAUAAUAGAUAAGGAUAAUCAUUGUUAACAACGAUCUGAUAUUAUAUUAUUAUUACUGUCUGUACCUCGACCAGGUUUUCUGCGGUUUUCCUAGGUCGCUGUGCUGAAUUUAAAGCCAGGUAAAUACAGGUACAUGAAUAUGUAAGCCGGCCGCAGCCGCAAUUAAUAAGUGUUAUACAUAAAUAAGUUUAUAUAAGUACAUGUAAGAUAGUAUAUUACGCACUAUGUAUAAGAGUAGUUCUAGCAAUAGUAUAGGUGUAUACGUGUAACCAUAGUGGGGGAACGUGAAGCUGAGCAGUCAGAGUUGAGACUUUGUGACUUCACUUCUCCCCGAGAGCUGUAACUAUUCACUCCAUCUCUCCGAUUUCUAAAUAAACAUCAACAUUAAAUUCAA